rnacentral:rRNA from 1 species
UGUGACAGCAGUGUUUAACGGCCGCGGUAUUUUAACCGCGCGAAGGUAGCGUAAUCACUUGUCUUUUAAAUGGAGACCUGUAUGAAUGGCAUAACGAGGGUUUAACUGUCUCCUCCCCCCAGUCAAUGAAAUUGAUCUGCCCGUGCAGAAGCGGGCAUGUGAACAUAAGACGAGAAGACCCUAUGGAGCUUCAAGCAAAUGAUCAAGCGCAAAAAGCCCUACUCCUAGUCAGUGUACGGGAAGGUAAAAGCCAAUGAUCAAAGUGCUUUCGGUUGGGGCGACCAUGGAGGAAAGAAAAGCCUCCACGUGGAAGGGGAAAAACCUUAAACUAAGAAAAACAGCUCUAAGUAACAGAAAUUCUGA